GACGAACGCUGGCGGCGCGCCUAACACAUGCAAGUCGAACGGAGCUUAGAGAGCUUGCUUUUUAAGCUUAGUGGCGAACGGGUGAGUAACGCGUGAGUAACCUGCCCUAGAGUGGGGGACAACAGUUGGAAACGACUGCUAAUACCGCAUAAGCCCACGGUGCCGCAUGACACUGAGGGAAAAGGAUUUAUUCGCUUUAGGAUGGACUCGCGUCCAAUUAGCUAGUUGGUGAGGUAACGGCCCACCAAGGCGACGAUUGGUAGCCGGACUGAGAGGUUGAACGGCCACAUUGGGACUGAGACACGGCCCAGACUCCUACGGGAGGCAGCAGUGGGGGAUAUUGCACAAUGGGGGAAACCCUGAUGCAGCGACGCCGCGUGGAGGAAGAAGGUUUUCGGAUUGUAAACUCCUGUCGUUAGGGACGAUAAUGACGGUACCUAACAAGAAAGCACCGGCUAACUACGUGCCAGCAGCCGCGGUAAAACGUAGGGUGCAAGCGUUGUCCGGAAUUACUGGGUGUAAAGGGAGCGCAGGCGGGAAGACAAGUUGGAAGUGAAAACCAUGGGCUCAACCCAUGAAUUGCUUUCAAAACUGUUUUUCUUGAGUAGUGCAGAGGUAGAUGGAAUUCCCGGUGUAGCGGUGGAAUGCGUAGAUAUCGGGAGGAACACCAGUGGCGAAGGCGGUCUACUGGGCACCAACUGACGCUGAGGCUCGAAAGCAUGGGUAGCAAACAGGAUUAGAUACCCUGGUAGUCCAUGCCGUAAACGAUGAUUACUAGGUGUUGGGGGAUUGACCCCCUCAGUGCCGCAGUUAACACAAUAAGUAAUCCACCUGGGGAGUACGACCGCAAGGUUGAAACUCAAAGGAAUUGACGGGGGCCCGCACAAGCAGUGGAGUAUGUGGUUUAAUUCGAAGCAACGCGAAGAGCCUUACCAGGUCUUGACAUCCGAUGCAUAGCACAGAGAUGUGUGAAAUCCUUCGGGACAUCGAGACAGGUGGUGCAUGGUUGUCGUCAGCUCGUGCCGUGAGGUGUCGGCUUAAGUGCCAUAACGAGCGCAACCCUUAUCUUUAGUUACUAACAGGUCAUGCUGAGGACUCUAGAGAGACUGCCGUCGUAAGAUGUGAGGAAGGUGGGGAUGACGUCAAAUCAGCACGGCCCUUACGUCCGGGGCUACACACGUGUUACAAUGGGGGGUACAGAAGGCGGCUACCUGGUGACAGGAUGCUAAUCCCAAAAACCUCUCUCAGUUCGGAUCGAAGUCUGCAACCCGACUUCGUGAAGCUGGAUUCGCUAGUAAUCGCGCAUCAGCCAUGGCGCGGUGAAUACGUUCCCGGGCCU
rnacentral:rRNA from 1 species